ACAAACUUAGUUGGUCUCUAAGGUGCUACUGGGGAAAAAAUCUUGUCUGAGAUUAAGCAAAAAGAAAAAUAAUUGGAACAAUCUCCAACUAUCUGGCAAAUUAAGAUGUUGCUGAGACAGUUGUCUAUGCAGGAGACAGGAACAAAACUGGAUUAUGCUAAAUGAAUUUAAAUUUUAAAAAAAUUGCUCACAAACCUGGGAAAUGGUUAGCAUAUAAACUGCAGAAGGAGAAAGAAAGGAAGUUGAUAUUGAAGUUGCAAGAAGAAAAUGCUGUAAUAACAGGUAAGACAAAUAUGAAAAAGUAUUUCACCAAUAUUAUUCUAAGUUGUAUAAAGGUCAAGUAAUAUAUUAAUAUAUAUAUAUAUAGACAAAUAGACAACAUCUACCAAAGAUUUCAGACUUUCAAAGACAAAUAAUGAUUGGCCCUAUAACUACUCAAGAAUUAUGUGGUGCUAUAAAAAAAUAAAAGAAAGGAAAAGUACCAGGCCCAGAUGGACUAUUGGCUUCUUACUAUAAGUCUUUUGAAGAGGAACUUUUACAACCCUUGCAACAGACAAUGAAUAAUAUUCUACAGUGGUAAAAUAGCAGAUGUCUGGAAAGAAGCCAAUUACACAUAUACCUAAUUGUCCCCGCUACUUUUCAUUCUAGUCUUGGAAGUUUUACUUAGAGACAUUAGACAAUAUGAGAGAAUUGUGGGAAUAAAGAUUUUAAAAGAAAUGUUUAAGUUAAGGGCAUUUACUGACGACCAGAUGUUAAUUCUAGAAAACCCACUGCAGGGAGUGGGGAUUCUUAUGGAGAAACUAAAUGAUGUUGGUAUCUUAGCAGGGUCUAAGGUUAAUAACCAAAAAGCAAAAAUGUUAACAAAGAAAAUGACAACAGAAGAUGAGAAGGUUUUGAAACAGGGUUUCAAUUUGGAAAAAGUAAAAUAUUUGGAUAUUAUUGUGGCAAAUGUGAAUUGUAUGUUCCGCCAAAAUAAUUAUGUUAAGACAUGAGCUGAAAUUUAAAAAUAUAUGUCAAGAUGGAAGGUGCUAAAAUUGUCAUUGCUGGGUAGAAUUUCAGUGACAAAGAUGAAUGUAUUGCCUAGAAUUAUGUCUUUAUUUUAAACGAUACCUAUUUUGACUAAUAACUUAACACUUAAACAAUGGCAAAAAUAUUUAUCUAUGUUUCUAUGGCAGGGAGGGAAAAAAAACAGAAGUCAAAAUGAAAGUAUUGCAAGACAUAUGUGUAUGUUCCAGACGUUUUCAUUGCUACAUUUUCACAGAAAUGUCAAGUGCAAUCAUUUAUUUUUUCAACCUUCAAAAUCCAGUCAGCAGAAAAGUCAUGAAUUCAAACAUAUUUCCACCAGUACAGUGGUACCUCAGGUUACAUACGCUUCAGGUUACAUACACUUCAGCUUACAGACUCCGCUAACCCAGAAAUAGUGUUUCAGGUUAAGAACUUUGCUUCAGGAUGAGAACAGAAAUCUUGCUGUGCCGGCGCGGCAGCAGCAGGAGGUGCCAUUAGCUAAAGUGGUGCUUCAGGUUAAGAACAGUUUCAGGUUAAGUACGGACCUCUGGAACGAAUUAAGUACUUAACCUGAGGUACCACUGUAUAGAUUUUGUUCAGAAUGCUCAUUCUCACAGAACCGUAAGGAAGAAUCAUAAAAAGGAUGGUUAAUUUUCGUUCUAUAAACUAGCGCAGGCAUUGACAGGCUUCUUGAGCCCAUUUGCAAACCAGAGAAACUUAUAGGUAGCACACACCUAUGCACACAUCACAACCUAUUCUACUGGCUACUACAGAAUACUUACCAUAUUUUCCCGUGUAUAAGACAAUGUUUUUUCUUAUAAAAUAAUGUUACAAAUUGGGGGUCAUCUUAUAUAUGGAUAGUGCAGAGGGAGGACGGGUGAUUGGUUGCAGCUGCAAGCAGGAGAUUUUCAGCGGGGGUUUUGGGGUAAUUGGUGGCUGCAUAAAGGGCUGCUGUCAUUUGGCUGUUGCUGCUGCAGUUGGGCGGGUGAUUGGUGGCUGUGUCAAGGCUUGCUGUUGAUUGGGUGCCGCUGUGGCAAUUGGGCAGGCGAUUGUCAGCUGCUGGCGGCGAGCGGGCAUACGAUUGGUUUGCUGAUGCGUGCGAUUGUCAGCGUCAAUCAGACGUGUAGUGAUUUCCGGCAAUCCCCACCCCUAUUUUCCUAAUUUGGAGUCCCCAAAAAUAGGGGUCGUCUUAUACACGGGGGCAUGUUAUACACGAAAAAAUAUGGUAUAUUUAUUCCUACUGUCUGCUUCCUGUUAUUUAACUUCCUGAUCCGCAAGCAGUCCUCUCCCCUUAUUCCAUGCAUAGAAAAGUAAAAAACAAGAAAAACCUAUACAGUGGUACUUCUGGUUAAGAAUUUAAUUUGUUCUGGAGGUCCGUUCUUAACCUGAAACUCUUCUUAACCUGCAGUACCACUUUAGCUAAUGGGGCCACCCACUGCUGCUGCUGCUGCUGCGCGAUUUCUGUUCUCAUCCUGAAGCAAAGUUCUUAACCCGAGGUACUAUUUCUGGGUUAGCGGAGUCUGUAUCCUGAAGCGUCUGUAACCUGAAGCGUCUGUAAGCUGAGGUACCACUGUAUAGAAGCACCAUUGCCUCCAACUCUAUCCUUCAUCUUUGCAAUUUGUCAAUGACCUUGAAUUGUAGUUUCAGGGACCAAAUAAAUAUCUUUUAACCAGGGUACUAUUUAUUAAAGGAUUUUGCAUGACUGUAUAUGCUCUGAAUAUUUUUCUGCCUUUAUAUACCGCCUAGUUUGUUUAGGUCUCGAUUAGGACUGGAGUUAAGACUUGAUUAAGACUGUGGACAUACUAUAACUGCAACAAUAAAUCAUGCAGAAAACCAAGCAUAUUGCAGGAAAGGAAAAGAGGGCGGGGGGAAAUAGAACAAUUCCUACCUAAUAUUUAUUUCAGCUGAUUCAAAAAGUCCAGGACUUGGCUUCUUCUUCACAGCACCGGCCUGCAAAUACACCAGUUUUGGGUUUUUUUAAAAAAAUGUUUCAAGGAAUUUCCAGAGGUGCCAAAAAAUGGGCAAGGCCUGCAUAAUUUGCAACCCAUCAAGCUGAAUGCAGUGUAGCCAUCACUUACUUUGGCCUGCCUUGUGCCUGGCAGCUCUUACCAAUUUUACAGUCCUAGGCACACAGACUGGCUGUCAAGGCUCUUCCAGACAACAUACUUAUGGGGUAUUCGUCCUGAUUUGCUUGCACAAAGCUUAUGCAGAGGUCAUACAAUAUUCACUCUGUAUCAAGCAUUCAUUCUGGUUUGCCACAGUGAGCAUCCUGAUUUUCAAAAUGAGCAUUCAUCCUGACUCACUUGCACUGAGGUUAUACGCCUUCCAGUUAAACAAUAGUUUAUCCCACAAUUUUAGUGAAUUACUCCAUCAAUAUUCUAACAUCAUAAAGUUCAUGUUGUUGUUUGAAGUGGAUUUGAUGUACCAGAGCACUUCAAUUCACUUUAAUUUUGCAAUGGGGAAAAAAAAAAUUACUGCAUUGCAGGGGCUUGGACUAGAUCAGGCUUCCUCAACCUCGGCCCUCCAGAUGUUUUGAGACUACAAUUCCCAGCAUCCCAGACCACUGGUUCUGCCAGCUGGGGAUCAUGGGAGUUGUAGGCCAAAAACAUCUGGAUGGCCAAGGUUGAGGAAGCCUGGACUAGAUGAUCCUCGUGGUCACUUCCAAUUCUACAGUUCUCUGUUUCUAUAACCUGGGCCUUCUUUACAGUGGCUCCCUGUCUGUGGAAUUCUCUCCCCAGGGAAGUUCACCUGGCACCUUCAAUAUACACCUUUAGGUGCCAGGCAAAAACGUUCCUUUUCAGCCAGGCCUUUGCCUGACUUGAUCUACAUCCUAUACCCUGUUUUUAAAUGCUGGCUCUUUUUGGGGGGUUUUUUAUUGGAUUGUUGGUUUUGUUUUGAUUUUAAGUAUUUGAUAUUUUAUGUGAACCUCCCUGAGACCUUCGGGUAUAGGGUGGUAUAGAAAUUAAUUAAUUAAUCAAUUAAAUUUCCAGUACACUGGUACCUCGGGUUACAGACGCUCCAGCUGACAGACGCUUCAGCUUACAGACUCUGCUAACCCAGAAAUAGUACCUCAGGUUAAGAACUUUGCUUCAGGAUGAGAACAGAAAUCACACGGCGGUAGUGCAGCGGCAGCAGGAGGCCCCCAUUAGCUAAAGUGGUACCUCAGGUUAAGAACAGUUUCAGGUUAAGAACAGACCUCCAGAAUGAAUUUAGUUCUUAACCCGAGGUACCACAGUAUGUGGUUGAAUCCCUCCAGCAAAAUACAGACAGUCCAAAGACGGCUCAUGCACAGCUGCUGAACUGCAUUCAGUUUCAUGUCACAAACAGUGCAGCACUGAAACAAGCUGACUUUAUUCCAAAAAGGAGUUGGCUUCUGCUUCACUUCCCAGCACUAAAGCAGACUAACAUUACGAAAAAACUAUUUUAGCUAUUGCUGGGAAUCUGCUACACUUUUCCCUGUUCCUUAGCUUCUGACAUCUGAAGUCAGCCCUUUUUAGGGAAGUUUUUGAUGACUGAUGUUUUAAUGUACUUUUAAUCUUUGUUAGAAGCCGCCCAGAGUGGCUGGGGAAACCCAGCCAGAUGGGCGGGGUAUAAAUAAUAAAUUAUUAUUAUAUCCUUAUCAUGCUUUGCAUCAGCUUUGACCUCCCUGCCAUAGCAAAUAUGCUCAGAUUAGUCCUGUAUAAGAAGAGCAUGGAACUUCAGGGCCAGAGGCCAAAAGUGGCCCUCCAGGGCUUUCUAUUUGGCCCUUGGAAAGAUCUAUAGGGCUCCCCUCUCACCAGGCCACAUCCCUCAUUCCUCUCACCCCACUAACCACUGUCAUGUGGCCCUUGGAAAGUUGACCAAAAGUGAAUGGGGCCCUCAGAAUGAAAAAUGUUCCUCAGCCUGCUGUGUAUUGAUACCUGCACUUACCACUUGGAAAGGUCUCUUGCCACUAUAAUCAGUGUGUUCCAUGUCUAUGCCUGAUAAAUGCCAAACCAUCAAUCCAUCCACAUCCCCAUUCGCAGCAAGGCUGGGAGUGGGGAUUAAAAAAAAAAAAAAGAACAAUUGUCAUAUGGAGAGGAAAUCAAUGUUGUGCUAAGGCAAGUGUUACAUCAGUGAAGGCAUUUUGGCUUGCUGGAUCUAAUGAUCCCCCUUCUCUACUCCUCCCACUGUUCUGGGGGUUCUCCUGACCCCCAAAGAGCCAAUUCCAAGGGUGACAGGAAUCAGAGAACAGAAAAUCACAUUGCUCAGGGCUUCUGCUGAUGGGAUUCUUUGGUUGAUUCCUGCCCAUGUGUUUUUCUUAACUAGCUUAUCAACAGUUUUUUGUGCUAGCCAACCUUGCAAAACCUCUCUAGAAUGUUUGGGUGCAAUGUAGAGGAAGCAGCUCUCACCAGCCAUUUUGCUAAAAUAUGAUGCUGCAAAACUUACUUUGCUUCUUUGAGAGAAAAGCGAUGGCAAACCUAGACAGCAUCUUAAAAAGCAGAGACAUCACCUUGCCAUCAAAGGUCUGUAUAGUUAAAGCUGUGGUUUUCCCAGUAGUGAUGUAUGGAAGUGAGAGCUGGACCAUAAAGAAGGCUGAUCGCCGAAGAAUUGAUGCUUUUGAAUUAUGGUGCUGGAGGAGACUCUUGAGAGUCCCAUGGACUGCAAGAAGAUCAAACCUAUCUAUUCUGAAGGAAAUCAACCCUGAAUGCUCACUAGAAGGACAGAUCCUGAAGCUGAGACUCCAAUACUUUGGCCACCUCAUGAGAAGAGAAGACUCCCUGGAAAAGACCCUGAUGUUGGGAAAGAUGGAGGGCACAAGGAGAAGGGGACGACAAGGAUGAGAUGGUUGGACAGUGUUCUCGAAGCUACUAACAUGAGUUUGACCAAACUGCGGGAGACAGUGGAAGACAGGAGUGCCUGGCGUGCUCUGGUCCAUGGGGUCACUAAGAGUUGGACACAACUAAAUGACUAAACAACAACAAAAAACUUACUUCCCCAGAAUUGAGUGCAAGUAAAGGCACAGAACAGUAUAUACACUAAGCCAGACCUCUCUCAGGUUAUUCAGAACUAUGUGGGAUCUAGCAACCCACCAGAUGGAUAGAAUGGAUACCAUUGUAUAAUUGCAAAAUGCUGCAUAUCUAAGAACACAAUUCUUAAAUUAAAUACUGCCUGGGUGAACAGUUCUUAUACUACUUUCUUUAGAUUUGUUGUCUGGAAACACCCUAAAACUCUAGUUUACACUACACUGGUACAUCCAGCUUAUGGGCAGGGAGGACAUUAUAAUCCACUUCUUACGUAUGUUCCCAGGAGUCUAUCUAGGGGAUUCAUCAGACUCAUAGCACCACAGCCAGUGGACUUUCCAGAGGCAUCUGACUGGUCACUAUGGGAAUCAGGAUGCUGAAGUAGACAAGACCUUUCAGAUGAUCUAGCAGGUCUCUUCUAAUGAUGUUAGGUUUAAUUUUAGAGCUGGGGGCAGGGUGGUCUCCUUAGAGGCAUUCUCUAGCUCUUCACUGGAAAGGUGAGCUCCAGUUUCCUGAAGCAGGCAAAUUAUUUCCAUGUGCAUUUAUAGAAAAAAGAAAGAAACAUCAGUGUAAUUAUUGACAAAUUCAUAGUUAAUAAGUUCCUUCAACAGUCCUUAGUGGAACUACCAGGGAUGACGUGCCAAGACAAAGCCAGUGUGAGCACUCAUUUGCUUUCUCUCUGUGACUGGCUUGGCAGCUACCCAGAAGGGGGAACUCAGAGGUGAUCAAGUGAGAUGAUAAAUUGGCUGCUCCUUCAAUGAUAAACCUCAUCUGAUGUGCCACACACACACACACACACAGAGAGAGAGAGAGAGAGAGGGAGGGAGGGAGGGCAUAAACACUUGCUCUGCUUUUCAGCAAGUACUCAGCAAGCUUUGCGUGCCCUUCGCUUUUUGCAACAUGAAGUUGAGUGCGGCCAUCAUAAUCUUCAUAGCUUAAGUUUCCACCCUGCAAAAAAGAAAUAUAUCUCCCAUCUGCAAGAGCAAAUGUAAUGCUAUAAUGAACUUUUCAAUAAGCUGAAUUCACCUCAUCAGGCCAGCAAAGCCAAAACUGAAAUGUUGUAAAAGAGAUUGUAGCUCAAAAGGUUACAGGUUCAGUAUCUGGCAUCUUCAGGAAUAAAACAACCUGGAGCCUUAGAGACCAGGGCAGGUGGGCAGAUUUCAGCCUUGUAGGUCGUAUUUUGUGGUUUUUUCCAGUCACCCAAAAAACCACCAGCCAGAGUCAGGUGCGAAAUAGUGGCUCAGCCUGCUGACGUACAUUAAACGCACUUCCAGAUUACCUGUUUAUUGAACAUUCAUCCUGAUUCAUUUGCAGGAUGAAUAAUUGGCAUCGGCUAUUUAAUGUGCUUGUUCUGAUUAGUUUGAAGGAAGAUUAGACAACAUUGCCUAUUUCACGAGCAUCCAAGCUGUUUAGUUUGCAGGGAGAUUAGACAAUGUUGGCUAUUUAAUAAGCAUUCAUCCUGGUUUGUUUGCAGAGUGGUUAGAAGAUUUUGGAUUUUUAAUUAGCAUUUAUUCCACUUACUUUUCAGGGAAGCUAAAGGAUGUUGCAUCAAAGUGAGUGUUGUCCCACACUCCCCACAGCAUUUGCCUGCCACUCCCAUUAACAAGAAAAGUUUGGUAUUCGGGGAAAGUUGAGUAUGUUGUGCAAGAUAUUCCGGUCAACAGCAGUUAUGCAAUCUGAAUUUGCUGGACUGUGACUGAAUCACACCUCAAUAUAGCAAUGGUUUGUAAACGCACGUAGAGGAAGUCACAAUUACAAAUUGAGUAUUUAUCAUGCUUCUGAGCAGACUUCUGCUAUUUUUAUUUCCCACUUCUUCUACUGCUUUCAAUGUAUUCAGGUUACCAGUAUUAGCAGCAGCACAUAGAUGGAAUUCGAGCUUCUUGCUCCUAAAGAACGACAAGAAAAAAUUAAAAGAAAGAUUAUGUAUACAUUCCAUAACAUUAAGCAAUAACUGUAUGGUAUUUAUAUUUAUUUAUUUAUUAAAUUUCUGUAGCACCCUUCAUUCGAAGAUCACAGAGCAGUUUACAAUAUAAAAACACAAACAUAACAUAGUAAGAAAUGAAAACAACAAUCCCUCCACACAAAGUUUUAAAAGCCAUAGAUUAAUACAUUUUAUCUGUGAGUACAACAGAUAUUUAUAUAAAUAUGGCAACACAGAUAUGUUAAUGUAUUGUUGUUUUAACUGACACAUUUGUCGUGAAUUAUGUUAUUGUUGCGAGACACUGAGACAUUCUUUUAAUAAUAAUAAUAAUAAUAAUAAUAAUAAUAAUAAUAAUAAUUUAUUAUUUGUACCCCACCCAUUUGGCUGGGUUUCCCCAGCCACUCUGGGCGGCUUCCACAAAGACCAAAAAUACACUAAGAGCAAAUACACAAAUAGAAUGAACAAUAAAUAAUAUUAGUGAGAUUCCGAAAUGAGCGAGAGUGUGAGCAAAAUAGGAAAAAGAAAUACAGGGUUUUCAAGUUAAUGCCGUUACCAUUUGAACUACCCAAUACAAUAACCAAGUUUUUCAGUCUAAUUCAGGCAUGAGUCUGAAUUAUUUAUUAUUAUUUCUUAAAUUUGUAUACCACCCUUUAUCCGAAGAUCUCAGGGCAGCAUAAAAAUCAAAAUUUAAAAACACGAUUUUCUAUUCUCAGGUUUUAAUCAACACAUUGCUGCUGGGUUUUUGAGCUGCUUUGGAACUGCUAUUGUUAUACUAUACAGUGGUACCUCGGGUUAAGUACUUAAUUCAUUCCGGAGGUCCGUUCUUAACUUGAAACUGUUCUUAACCUGAAGCACCACUUUAGCUAAUGGGGCCUCCUGCUGCUGCCGCACCACCGGAGCCCGAUUUCUGUUCUUACCCUGAAGCAAAGUUCUUAACCUGAAGCACUAUUUCUGGGUUAGCGGAGUGUGUAACCUGAAGCGUAUGUAACCCGAGGUACCACUGUAUGUGCUGCUCCUUAGCAAGUGGUUGGUUCCAGUGAGUAUUGAUGCAUAUGUCUGAGCUGCCUGCUGGCCCAGGAACGCUCUCCCCGCAACAAGUGGAGAGAAUCCAAAUCUGCCAGUCAUUGUCAACAGGAGUGGUCUCAGGGAUCACUUUAAACCUCUUGUUAAUUACCCAAAUCUACAUAAAUAAAUUAAAUAAAUGCACUUAGGAUUUGGGGGAUGAGUCCCACCCGCUUCCUGUCCACCAUGUGGACACCCAUAUUUUUUCAGAAACCUAACUGAAAGGGGGAAAGCAGUUUAGCCUUUGCUGUUAUGAGACAACAACGGAGAAUCGUUCUUGCCCAGCUAAAGCAGAUUGCCCAGAGAUCCAUCAACAGAACCACGAGCCAUUCCACAACCUGCUUUACAGCAGCUUCAUAUGUAAAUGAAAAGUAAUACGAGUUCAAAAAUGACAACUUUCCAUGUAACACAUUCUUUACCUGCUUCUUCUCUUUCCAAGAAAGUUGCCUUUUGCCCAGCACGUAUGAAAGCUUUGCCAAAGACACCUCAAGUGUCAUAUCACCACCUGAAAUCACGCCAACGUGAGCAAGAUCCUGUUGUUGUUGUUUAGUAGUUUAGUCAUGUCCAACUCUUUGUGACCCCAUGGACCAGAGCACGCCAGGCAUUCCUGUCUUCCACUGCCUCCCGCAGUUUGGUCAAACUCAUGUUGGUAGCUUCGAGAACACUGUCCAACCAUCUUGUCCUCUGCCAUCCCCUUCUCCUUGUGUCCUCCAUCUUUCCCAACAUCAGGGUCUUUUACAGGGAGCUUUCUCUUCUCAUGAGGUGGCCAAAGUAUUGGAGCCUCAGCUUCAGGAUUUGUCGUUCCAGUGAGCACUCAGGGCUGAUUUCUUUCAGAAUGGAUAGGUUUGAUCUUCUUGCAGUCCAUGGAACUCUCAAGAGUCUCCUCCAGCACCAUAAUUCAAAAGCAUCAAUUCUUUGGUGAUCAGCCUUCUUUAUGGUCCAGCUCUCACUUCCAUACAUCACUACUGGGAAAACCAUAGCUUUAACUAGAGAUGACCAAAUGCCGAAAUGUUGGUGCAGUUAAUCUAACCGGCUGCAAAGUGAUGAUGUACAGGGAGUUGGAGGUAUAAUAUCUAUUUAGACAAGGGGUUGGAAACCUUAGGCCAGGAGCCCAAUCUGGCCCCUCCAGGUCUCUCAGGGUACCAUACCUUCCAACAUUUAUCCGGGAUCAAAUCAGACACCGGGACGGCUUCUGUAAAUCCGGAACUGUCCCUGGAAAAUAGGGACACAUGGAGGGUCUGUGACAGUUUUGAGUGCUAGUGUUCUUAAAACUUAAUCCUUUAUAUUCCCAUUUUUUGUGCUUUUUUUUUUUUUGCUUAUAAGUUGCUACAUAAAACAAAAAUCCACCAAUUUUUCAUAAUUUCCCACUUAAAACUAUCACCACAGAACAGUCUACUUUAUUAUAAUUUUAAGAAAUUAUGCACCAUGUACUUGGCCUAUUCAUCACCCGUCUGGUUCCAUAGGUUGAAGCAACAGACCCUCGCAAACACAUUCUGCUCCAUCACUUGCUGAAACUCUUACGGCAAAUCAGGGCGGUUGUUUCCAGCAAAUUGGGGAGGUUGUUUGGUGCAUUGCCUCAUCUUCAAGCUUCCAGUAUGAUCCCCUCCAUGGGAGGCUGAAGGAAAGCCUUUAUCUGACACCAGGAAUGUAGAGAUUAGAUAAGACUUUCUCAAAGUUAUUAAAAUUAUGUUUCUCUUGAUCGCCUCCCACACCAGUUCUAUGUAUCUGCUCCCCUCCUGUUCCCCUCCCUCAGAUGCUCAGUGACAGCCUUAGAGGAGAAAUGUCAUCAAUGGAACUCACAGCUCGCUAAGGAGCAGCAAAUUUAUUAAAGUGAUGACCAAAUUAUAAACCUGGAUGUGAAGACAGGUUCUGGCAGAUUGAGUGGACGAGACCAGUAGUGGAAGGCAGAUUCUGCACAUUCUGACCCUAAACCUCUGCUGCCUUGCUGGAUAUCUUUGGGUGGCUAAGGAGUAAACCCUACAAAAAUCCCGACUGGAGUCCCUAAGACGAUAGGCUGGCGCCUUGGAGCCUCCUUCCAGCAAUUCCUGCAGCCAAGUUGGUGCCAUACAUAUGCCAUAUUCCAUUUGACUUCAUACCAGAGGAGCACUCCACCGUCUCUCGAGACAGAUGCCAACCACAAAGUAAGGCUCAUUGCUUUCCAGAAGCUCAUUCCUUUCUGGAAGCAGUGAACUACUGAAAUAGGAAUGUUGAAUCUAAGUCCCCAACUAGUGCAGCGCUAACCACUUCCACAGGCUGCAUGCAAAUGAAGUGGCACUGAGACAACCUGGUGCCAUAGAGACAUUUCCAACCACAUCUUCUGUUAUGUACUGAGUUGACUAGGAGCCAAAAUGCAGCAGUCUGAUUGGUCCUAGAACAAUGCAGCAGUACGAUCGGUCCACAGGAGCCACCCAAUCCAGCUCCAGGUGGAAGUGAAUCCACAACCUGAUUGGCCCAUGGGAGAAUCCUGGAAUUAGCCAAUCAUGUGCAGCCCAUUGUGUAAAUAAUGUAUAUAAAGCAGAUAUUGUGGGGGAACUUCCAUUCCUCCUCACCACCAUGAGCUGAAUAAAGAGCAUGAAAUCCACUCUCGACUCCGAGUAUAUUUCAUCUUCCAUCACUUCUGACCACUGUCCUCUCAGGUUGGGGCUGGUGGGAGCUAUAGUCAGAACCACUGAGAAGCAAAGAAGAAGAAGAAGGAGUUUGAAUUUGAUAUCCCGCUUUAUCACUACCCGAAGGAGUCUCAAAGCACCUAAGAUUCUCCUUCCCCUUCCUCCCCCACAACAAACACUCUGUGAGGUGAGUGAGGCUGAGAGACUUCAGAGAAGUGUGACUGGCCCAAGGUCACCCAGCAGCUGCAUGUGGAGGAGUGGAGACGCGAACCCAGUUCACCAGAUUACGAGUCUACCGCUCUCAAACGCUACACCACACUGGCUCUCCAGGGUUUUGGAGAAGGUUUGGAGAAGGCAGAUCCACACUAAGUGGAAGCAGGGCUCUCCAGGGUUUCAGAGGAGCAAGUUUCCCCAGCCUUACCUGGAGAUGUUAGGGAUCGAACUGGCACACAAAGCAUGAACUAUGAACUCUCCCCCACAAGAUCAAAAGUGCUCUCUUACUCAGGGACAAGGAGCGUCAUGCACCAUUAAAGUCCCCCAGCCUCUGUCUCCCCACUGUGGGCUGUCACCUCCCCCACCCACCUCCAUCACACUCGGCGCCCCCAAUGCCAAUGGCGCCCCCCAGUGUUGAGCACCGGCACCCAGGCCCUAGCCUCCUCCCUGGCAGGGCAGGCCUCUGGUGAGCCCCACAAGGCUCUCGUGGCUCAAGGGAAGAGCUUCUCAGCUGGAGCCAUGGGGCGCCAAUGCCAUGCUCUCCAGGCAAUUCCAGGUUUGCCACUGUGGUCAGUGCUGCUGCUGAUCUUCCCAAAGCCUCAACCACAGAGUCUCAGUGCACUUGCUAUUUUUAUCCAAAGCACGUGCACCUCCCAUCUGACAUUUAUCCCUUCUGCAGUGACUACAUCCUUAGAUUUGCUGGUGUCGCUGCAGAAGGCUGAACAGAUAUAGCCACCCGCAAACUCUCAGGCUGCAAAGCCUAUGCAAUCAAUCAAUCAAUCAAUCAAUCAAUCAAGCCUUCAUCAUUCAUCUCAUGAGAGAAAGCUUUAAAGGUACCCAGGGAUUUUUAAACAGCAAGGGUUGUUUAUUUGUCACUGUGUUUUUUACAAAGAUUUAAACAAACAUCAGUUUCCCAGAGCUAGGAAUUCACAUAAACACACACAUACUCACAUACAAAACACAAUGCACCUAGCAGUGUAUGUAAAGGUAAAGGGACCCCUGACCAUUAGGUCCAGUCGUGGCUGACUCUGGGGUUGUGGCGCUCAUCUCGCUUUAUUGGCCGAGGGAGCCGGCAUACAGCUUCUGGGUCAUGUGGCCAGCAUGACUAAGCCGCUUCUGGCAAACCAGAGCAGCGCACGGAAACACCAUUUACCUUCCCGCCGGAGCGGUACCUAUUUAUCUACUUGCACUUUUUUGUGCUUUCGAACUGCUAGGUUGGCAGGAGCUGGGACCGAGCAAUGGGAGCUCACUCUGUCACGGGGAUUCGAUCCGCCGACCGUCUGAUCGGCAAGUCCUAGGCUCUGUGGUUUAACCUACAGCGCCACCCACGUCCCAAAGCAGUGUAUAGGUAUAGGCAUAUUUUUGUACCUUGCUAUACAAUUCAAUACGAAAACACUCGAUUUUGGAACAAAGUGGUUAUAAAGCUGUUUUACACCUCUCUAGCUCUGACUACAUUAAUCCAUUUUUCCCUAUUUACCAUUCAGUUAUCCUGUCUCCAAGUGUAGUUUUCCAGUUAUGACAAAUUAGUUCCUUUUAUUUGUUUUUUAAGGCCUCAAAGAGACUUGUGCAGUAGAAAAAAUCAUAAACCACAAUUCAAGAACAUGCAAUAUUAACAUCAAUGAAUAGUACACUGUACAAUUACUACACAGAUGGUAUUGGACUCCUUUGCAAAUGUCAAAAUUAUGUUUUCUUCCAUAGCACUUAAUUGUUGGAGUUGCAAUAAACUUGGGAUAUAUUAUCAUUUAUGGCUGGGAAUGUCAGUUGGUGCAGGAUUUUUUGGAUUCAACUUUGACAGAAAUGGUAAAUAUUAAUAAAGAAACGGUUGUCUGUUGUCCAGAAUUAAUGUUACUGGAAAUUUUUGAGGAUACCAAUGUAAAUAUAUUGUCAAAAGAAUUGGUCUUAUUUAUAUGUGGUAUUGGCAGCAGGAAUAGUAAUUGGAAAAUUACUAUUUUCAAUGGAAAAUAACCCAAAAUCUUACACUGGAUGCUUGGUACCCCUCACUCUAGAAUAUAGCUAUAAUGGAGGAAAUUGUUCAUGAUUUUAGAUUUCAACAAGGACUGGAACCUCCAGACACCUUUAAUAUGAUUUGGCAUUCCUUUUAUGAAAUAUACAGCAGAGCCAUCAUUUUUAAGACAACCGUCAUCACAAGCCUGGCAAAUUUGGAACUAUACUUGAUGAUCCAGUCAAAUUGAUAGUUUUUAUUUAGGCUUUCUUUUAACUCAAGUGCAGGAACUCAGUCUAUGUGCCCAUUUUAUCCACCUCUUCCCCUCAAAGUGUUACAAUUACCAGAGUGCCCUGGUGAGAAUGAUUGACUGUCAAACCGCUCUUGACACGUUAGCUCUGUGACUCUCAGUACCCUUAACUAACUUCAGUUCCUAGGAUUCUUAGGUGGGAGCCAUGACUGUUUAGAGUGAUACGAUAUUGCUUUCAAAGCAUAGUGCAGAUGGGGCCUAAAUCUUGCAUUCUGGUCAUCCUUCCUGUUGGCAGUUGAUGAACUGAAUAUAUAUUCAUAGCUGUCAAGCGUCCCUUAUUUGGCGGGACAGUCCCUUAUCCCAGCGCCGUGUCCCGCUGUUGUCCCUUAUUGAUGAUGUCCCUUAAACGAGCUACUGAAGGUAAUGGGGCCCUUUCUAUGUCCAGCUGUCCUUUGUCAACAACAAAUUGUUGCUGUUUUUUUGUGUUGAAUAUAUGCUAUAUGGUAAUUUAUGGACCUAAUAGGUAUCUAAAGCCAUUUGCACGCAACAAAAUAUGUAUUUUAUCAAAGUAAUUGUUGAUCCCUUAUUUUGGCUGUUGAUCCCUUAUUUUCGAGGCUGUUGGUCCCUUAUUUUCAAAUCUGUAAGUUGACAGCUAUGUAUAUAUUCCGUGUUUUGGAAGGAGCUGCAAACCUGCAAAUAAAUUUCAAAUACAAAGUAAAUCCAUACUGUCCACCGGGUGGCAGCAGAUUCCCAGCAGAACAGAAAAUUGUAUUUCCCAUGAAUUUGUGUUUGGUGAUGCUGAUAGGAGGAUCAGGCUGCAAGAGCUUGCAGUCAAACCUAACUAUGCACGACUGCUAGUUAUUGCACGAAGGGGUUAAGGACCACAGAGUUGUAGAGAGACUCAGGUUACAUCCAAGCCUUUCUAUUCGCCCCCACCCCACCCCGUGCAUCAUGUAACCAUUGAAGGAGGAUGUGUGUAAGCUUGAUCCUGAGCUUACAGUACAUGUUUGGAACUAUAUUCUGCAUUUUCUACUCAACAGUAUGUUGCCUGUAUUAUCAUUGCUGCAGCAUGGAACAAUGCAUGACUGAGACCUUGAAUCUGUAAGUAAAACAUUUUAAACUUACUUAACUGUGUGUGGUCUGCUCAUUGCAAGAGGGGUAGAAAGAGGUCAGCUGCUGUAUGCAGCUGAAUGAGAGGUUUAACAACCUGUAUUCCUAAAACUUUAAUGGGCUGCUUAUUUUGUGAUUUUAACUGGGGCUACUGGGGCUCUCUGUGUGUUAGCCCCCGCAUUUGAAUCCAGAGACUCAGCCAUUUCUUUUUGUUGUUCACACACAAACACAUAUAUUUCGUAUAUUUCAUUUUCCCCCAUACAGGCAAGGUUGUCUGAACCCUCUGCUUCUCCCUCCAGGGAGAGGAGUCAUCCCUCUCUCCAGACUGACUGGCAAGGCAGAUAACUCCUCAACUACUAAAAUAUCAUCCACCUGGAACUGCAUCAGGGACUGGAACCUAACUGUUACAACUCUACAGAAACCAUGAAGGAAAAACAGGGAGCGAACAAAGAAGACAAGAUAACUUCCCCUGCAAGAAAAGGCGGAAGCCAAAAGGAGGGAAAGGAAUUGCUGGACUAAUAAAUUGAACUGGAAUACAAAAAAAGGAGGUAUGAGGAGGUCCGGGAAACAAGUAAAUGAAAGAGAAGUGAUGAAAAGAUGGAAUUGUUUUUAAUUGGUUUUUUUUGUAUUUUGUAUUUUUUUUUCUCUUUCUUAUUUAUGUAUCCUUUUUUUGAAACCUUAAUAAAUAUCAUUUAAAAAAAAGAAAAGAAAAGGCGGAAGCCUCCAGUUAAGGAACAUCUGUCUAAGACAGGGAAAGGAAGCGCUAACAGUAUGUGAGGUGGCAGCAGAAUUCAUUACCCGUGCACCCAGAUAUUGUCAGCAGAGAAAGGAGAGGUGAGCAGAAUGUUCCACUGGACCAUCUUAAAAAAAAUAAAAAUUAAAAUAUCAGAGUAAGACAAAUUUCCAUAUCUGCAAAAUGCUGCUGGAAGACAUUCGCAAUAUACAAGAGCAGUAUCCAGAUCCUGGGCAGGCUUCCUUCGCCUUUCUCCCUAGUUUGGGGUUUGCAUGUUCCCCCUUAACCCCAUCUGUGCCCUCCUGGUGUCCAAACUGGGAAGAAACUUUUGGCAGAAGACCUGCUCUUGAAGGGGUGCUGGAUAGCACUGAGAGACUUGGUGAGUUCAGUAGAAAUAAACACUUUAACCCAGGACUUGUAAAUUGUUAGAGAAGGCAUGGCUAGGUCACGCCCCCUCACCUUCUGCAAGGAAGUAUUGUCUGUUUCUUGUUCCUUUUGUUCCAACCAUGUAGCUGAGCACGUGUCAGAGGCUGGGGCUCCAGACUCACACCGCAUGUUGGAGACUAACACCUGCAUUUUGCAACCAAAAAUACCUUGCCCUUAUGAUUUCUGCUGUUGCAUUGAACAAUGCGUGAGUGAAAUCUGUGAUUACUGUAAGUAAAGCACUUAAACAUACCAAAGUUUGUGGUCUAUUCACUCUAAGAGGGGUAGAGGCUUUGCAAACGCUGCACAGAUCUGUGUUUUAAACUCUGCUGGGGGCUGUUUUGGCAUAAGAGUGGGUCAAGCCCCGUGUGCGCUUUUUUGAAUUCAGGCAGUCAGCCAUUUUUUCUUGGUAGUCCCACACACGUGGGACCUGCAGGAUUAACUGGUGUUCCCAGUUAUUUCCCAGCAGUAACAGUGUACUGCUCGUUUUUUCGGAAACAAGGUUCUAUUACAUCAAGCAGUAGGUCUUUACCACACAGAAAACUGACAGGAUAUUCAUGUUUUAAUAGAUCGAACAGUAUCUUGGAUCUAGAGGCGUCCUUCUACUUUAAGACUUUUUCCAGACUUUAUGUGCAAUGCAUUGAGUCAAGCGCACCACAUCAACGUACCCCAGGCCUCUUUUCUUGUGCAAGGCAAGGAGGAUAUCUUGCUCUAGAGUACAAUUUCUGGAACAUCGG